rnacentral:rRNA from 1 species
UACGGAGGGUGCAAACGUUGCUCGGAAUCAUUGGGCGUAAAGCGCACGUAGGCGGUCGGCUAUGUCGGAUGUGAAAGCCUCGGGCUUAACCCGAGAAGGGCAUCCGAAACUGGCUGGCUUGAGUACGGAAGAGGGUCUCGGAAUUCCCGGUGUAGAGGUGAAAUUCGUAGAUAUCGGGAGGAACACCAGUGGCGAAGGCGGAGACCUGGGCCGAUACUGACGCUGAGGAGCGAAAGCCAGGGGAGCAAACGGG